GAUGAACGCUGGCGGCGUGCCUAAUACAUGCAAGUCGAGCGAACGGACGAGAAGCUUGCUUCUCUGAUGUUAGCGGCGGACGGGUGAGUAACACGUGGAUAACCUACCUAUAAGACUGGGAUAACUUCGGGAAACCGGAGCUAAUACCGGAUAAUAUUUUGAACCGCAUGGUUCAAAAGUGAAAGACGGUCUUGCUGUCACUUAUAGAUGGAUCCGCGCUGCAUUAGCUAGUUGGUAAGGUAACGGCUUACCAAGGCAACGAUGCAUAGCCGACCUGAGAGGGUGAUCGGCGACACUGGAACGGAGACACGGUCCAGACUCCUACGGGAGGCAGCAGUAGGGAAUCUUCCGCAAUGGUCGAAAGCCUGACGGAGCAACGCCGCGUGAGUUAUGAAGGUCUUCGGACCGUAAAACUCUGUUAUUAGGGAAGAACAUAUGUGUAAGUAACUGUGCACAUCGUGACGGUACCUAAUCAGAAAGCCACGGCUAACUACGUG
rnacentral:rRNA from 1 species